CCUACGGGUGGCAGCAGUGAGGAAUAUUGGUCAAUGGCCGAGAGUCUGAACCAGCCAAGUCGCGUGAAGGAUGACUGCCCUAUGCGUUGCAAACUUCUUUUAUAAAGGAAUAAAACGAGGCACGUGUGCCUUUUUGCAUGUACCUUAUGAAUAAGGAUCGGCUAACUCCGUGCCAGCAGCCGCGGUAAUACGGAGGAUCCGAGCGUUAUCCGGAUUUAUUGGGUUUAAAGGGAGCGUAGAUGGGUUGUUAAGUCAGUUGUGAAAUUUUGCGGCUCAAACGUAAAAUUGCGAUUGAUACUGGGAGUCUUGAGUACAGUUGAGGUAGGCGGAAUGCGUGGUGUAGCGGUGAAAUGCUUAGAUAUCACGAAGAACCCCGAUUGCGAAGGCAGCUUACUAAACUGUGACUGACAUUGAUGCUCGAAAGUGUGGGUAUCAAACAGGAUUAGAUACCCGAGUAGUC
rnacentral:rRNA from 1 species